rnacentral:rRNA from 1 species
UACGUAGGGUGCAAGCGUUGUCCGGAAUUAUUGGGCGUAAAGGGCUCGUAGGCGGUCUGUCACGUCGGGAGUGAAAACUCAGGGCUUAACCCUGAGCCUGCUUCCGAUACGGGCAGACUAGAGGUAUGCAGGGGAGAACGGAAUUCCUGGUGUAGCGGUGAAAUGCGCAGAUAUCAGGAGGAACACCGGUGGCGAAGGCGGUUCUCUGGGCAUUACCUGACGCUGAGGAGCGAAAGCUAGGGGAGCAAACGGG